GGCUCUGCUGGGUGGAAUAAAGAUGGCUUGCAAUGAAAAUGCGAAAUGCCGGGAAACCCGUGGACUUCCCGGCUGUAGCGCUUUGAAUCCUAGCUACGCUGCUGCGUUCGGAUCCGAGAGCUGGAAGCGGGGAAAAUGCUUUUAGUUUGGCACCUGCACCUUGUCCUACUCCAAAGCCGUUCGUCUGAGACGGGACAUAUCUGAAGAGCGCGGAAAGGGCCUGCCUGGCUCGUUCUUUGGGAUUUUUUUCCCCCCCCGAUGUGGGCAGAAUAAAAUCGAAGUCACGUUUGACGAGGGCAGAGACGUUUCCUCGUCCGGACGCGGAAGCUACAGCUGUAUUUUUCUAGCGCCUCGUCCCCUUGCAGGAGCAUCGGGAACGCCACCCCCGUUACGAGCACGGGACCGUUGCACCUCUCGAAUCGUCCCACCAAGCCGCGAGCCCUUUCGGCGGGUUAAGGAGAAGAGUCUCGGCACGGUCCCCACCCCCCGCGGAAGUGGCUCCCGAAACCCGGUUCCCCUGCUCAAGCCGAAGGGCUCCAACCUAAUUCUCCUGCCAGCCGGCGGUUCCCGAGCGCAGUCUCUUUUCUGGCAGCGGUUGCUAUAAUUGUCUGAACUGUGUGAAAUCUCUGGGAAUGAUUUUUACGUUUUGUUGUGGGGGUUUUUUUUUGUUGUUGUUUUAAUAAUAUUUAAUUUUAUGCAAUGUGUUUCAAACCGGUCGAGGUCUGCGCAACCUUCUCCCUUUUGGGCGCAACGCGUUUUCCAAUGGGACGGCGUCCGUCGGUACGUUAUUCCUUGCCAAACGUUACUCCUUUUAGAGCGGUCACCUUGCCGGUUUGAAGCUCCGAACGGUUUGUUUUCCGCCGCGGUGAAACGCACCUUGCUUUGAAGGAUCACAAUUUUGAUAUUUCUUUGUACUUUUUUUUCCCUUGUGUGGUGAAGUCAAUAAACGGAUAGAAAAAAACA
rnacentral:lncRNA from 1 species